AACCUUUAGCAACGGAUCACUUGGUUCUGGCAUCGAUGAAGAACGCAGCGAAAUGCGAUAAGUAAUGUGAAUUGCAGAAUUCAGUGAAUCAUCGAAUCUUUGAACGCACAUUGCGCCCCUUGGCAUUCCGAGGGGCACACCCGUUUGAGUGUCGUGAAAUUCUCAAAACCCUUUUCCUUGAUCGGAAUAGGACUUUUGGACUUGGCGGUUCAAUGCUCGCUUUCGCCUUUGAAAGCGAGCUCCUCUCAAAUGAAUUAGUGGGGGCCGCUUUGCCGAUCCUUGACGUGAUAAGAUGUUUCUACGUUUUGGAUUUGGCACUGUUUUCUCCGCUCCUAACCGUCUCAUGGACAACGAUGGUGCUCCGGUCGCCGCCGUCUAUGGCGGGAGGCUGGACCCACAAACAACCCUUGACCUCAAAUCGGGUGAGACUACCCGCUGAACUUAAGCAUAUCAAUAAUCGCAGGCU
rnacentral:misc_RNA from 1 species